AUGCUUGCUUUGCUGGUAUAUAUACUGAAAUUGGGGGGAUAUAGCAAACUUUAGCAUGGCCCCUGUGCAAUGAUGACAUCAAUGUCAUGUAAUGCUUCAUAAUUUUUU